GACGAACGCUGGCGGCGUGCCUAAUACAUGCAAGUCGAACGCACUCUCGUUUAGAUUGAAGGAGCUUGCUCCUGAUUGAUAAACAUUUGAGUGAGUGGCGGACGGGUGAGUAACACGUGGGUAACCUGCCCUAAAGUGGGGGAUAACAUUUGGAAACAGAUGCUAAUACCGCAUAGAACCUAAACACCGCAUGGUGUAGGGUUGAAAGAUGGUUUCGGCUAUCACUUUAGGAUGGACCCGCGGUGCAUUAGUUAGUUGGUGAGGUAAAGGCUCACCAAGACCGUGAUGCAUAGCCGACCUGAGAGGGUAAUCGGCCACACUGGGACUGAGACACGGCCCAGACUCCUACGGGAGGCAGCAGUAGGGAAUCUUCCAACAAUGGAUGAAAGUCUGAUGGAGCAACGCCGCGUGAGUGAAGAAGGUUUUCGGAUCGU
rnacentral:rRNA from 1 species